GAGAAAAUUGGUGGAUUUCAAGUAAUCAAGCAAUCAAAGGUGGUAAGCCCUCUAACAAAGGUAAAUAAGUUGUGUCAGAGGAUUAAGAAUAUGAGUAUUUCAAACUCUUGAUACAGCUGGAUAGUAUUGUAUUAGUCAUGUCAUGCUGUCAAAAUUUUAUUGUAUGGUGGGUUUAGCUUGCUGCAGUGGGCGGGUUCUGUGGACCAACCUAUUAGAAGGGCACUGAAUUUGAUUAUAUAUAUAUACCUCGGUCGGAGAGGCACGUAGGGUAUCUUUUAAGGUAUGGUUAAAGUUCACAUCAUGCCGAACCACCUCGUGAUGAUGAACUCCGCUAACGGCAAGGAACGGCUGUGUUUUUUUAAAUUAAAAAUAUGUUUAC